UGGGUAAAGAGGGACAAGUUUGUGCAUUCAUUACAAGUUAUAUGAUCCAAAGUGAUUGAAUACUCUUAUAUAAGCUUCAAACAAUACAACAAGUAGCUUGUUUAAUUGCUGUACAGCAGGUUUUAGUGAGUUGAUAUUUCUAAGACCUAUUUCUUAUUUUAUUGGUGGUAUUAUGAUGCAUUCGUGCUGUUGUUGCAUGUUGUAUAUGUUUUGGUUUCGGUGGUGCUCGAAUAGGCUGCUCUAUGCAUACUCAUGUAAGAUUGAAUACUCUUAUAUAAGCUUCAAACAAUACAACAAGUAGCUUGUUUAAUUGCUGUACAGCAGGUUUUAGUGAGUUGAUAUUUCUAAGACCUAUUUCUUAUUUUAUUGGUGGUAUUAUGAUGCAUUCGUGCUGUUGUUGCAUGUUGUAUAUGUUUUGGUUUCGGUGGUGCUCGAAUAGGCUGCUCUAUGCAUACUCAUGUAAUUUGGCCUAUCUAUCACCUAUUUAUUACAUAUCUCAAUGUUUUGUGCAUGCUUGUGUAACCUAAUUGUAUGUAUUACGUGAUUGGCCUGCCUAUUGAGAAAAUGAAGAAAAAAAAUUAAUACCAUUGUGGUUAGGAUUAUGACUUGUACACUAACUUUGGGAGGUUUCAGCGGAAUGAUACAACCAGAAUGGCCAAGUCCUUUUUAACUAUUAUUUUGAUGUGUAACAG
rnacentral:lncRNA from 1 species